rnacentral:rRNA from 1 species
CGCUAGCUACAGGCUUAACACAUGCAAGUCGAGGGGCAGCAUGGUCUUAGCUUGCUAAGGCCGAUGGCGACCGGCGCACGGGUGAGUAACACGUAUCCAACCUGCCGUCUACUCUUGGACAGCCUUCUGAAAGGAAGAUUAAUACAAGAUGGCAUCAUGAGUCCGCAUGUUCACAUGAUUAAAGGUAUUCUGGUAGACGAUGGGGAUGCGUUCCAUUAGAUAGUAGGCGGGGUAACGGCCCACCUAGUCUUCGAUGGAUAGGGGUUCUGAGAGGAAGGUCCCCCACAUUGGAACUGAGACACGGUCCAAACUCCUACGGGAGGCAGCAGUGAGGAAUAUUGGUCAAUGGGCGAGAGCCUGAACCAGCCAAGUAGCGUGAAGGAUGACUGCCCUAUGGGUUGUAAACUUCUUUUAUAAAGGAAUAAAGUCGGGUAUGGAUACCCGUUUGCAUGUACUUUAUGAAUAAGGAUCGGCUAACUCCGUGCCAGCAGCCGCGGUAAUACGGAGGAUCCGAGCGUUAUCCGGAUUUAUUGGGUUUAAAGGGAGCGUAGAUGGAUGUUUAAGUCAGUUGUGAAAGUUUGCGGCUCAACCGUAAAAUUGCAGUUGAUACUGGAUAUCUUGAGUGCAGUUGAGGCAGGCGGAAUUCGUGGUGUAGCGGUGAAAUGCUUAGAUAUCACGAAGAACUCCGAUUGCGAAGGGCAGCCUGCUAAGCUGCAACUGACAUUGAGGCUCGAAAGUGUGGGUAUCAAACAGGAUUUAGAUACCCUGGUAGUCCACACGGUAAACGAUGAAUACUCGCUGUUUGCGAUAUACAGCAAGCGGCCAAGCGAAAGCGUUAAGUAUUCCACCUGGGGAGUACGCCGGCAACGGUGAAACUCAAAGGAAUUGACGGGGGCCCGCACAAGCGGAGGAACAUGUGGUUUAAUUCGAUGAUACGCGAGGAACCUUACCCGGGCUUAAAUUGCAGAUGAAUUACGGUGAAAGCCGUAAGCCGCAAGGCAUCUGUGAAGGUGCUGCAUGGUUGUCGUCAGCUCGUGCCGUGAGGUGUCGGCUUAAGUGCCAUAACGAGCGCAACCCCUGUUGUCAGUUACUAACAGGUUCCGCUGAGGACUCUGACAAGACUGCCAUCGUAAGAUGUGAGGAAGGUGGGGAUGACGUCAAAUCAGCACGGCCCUUACGUCCGGGGCUACACACGUGUUACAAUGGGGGGUACAGAGGGCCGCUACCACGCGAGUGGAUGCCAAUCCCAAAAACCUCUCUCAGUUCGGACUGGAGUCUGCAACCCGACUCCACGAAGCUGGAUUCGCUAGUAAUCGCGCAUCAGCCACGGCGCGGUGAAUACGUUCCCGGGCCUUGUACACACCGCCCGUCAAGCCAUGGGAGCCGGGGGUACCUGAAGUGCGUAACCGCGAGGAGCGCCCUAGGGUAAAACUGAA